AGAACUAGUAGUUUGAGAUGUCGAAUGAGAGGGUAACGCCUCGAAAGGCACGUCUAAUACUCCGAAUAGCAGAGAAGUUGGUAAGAACUUCAAUGUUAUAAGCUCGGUGAAGUCGGCUGAGAAUACACCCUAACUUAUUUAGGUAAGAGGAAAUGCGAACCAGAGGUGGUCGAGUGUAUGAUAGGUCGGGAUUCCACAA
rnacentral:ncRNA from 1 species